GGUGCGGCAGGACACAUCUUCUGAGCUAUAAGCAUUACUUAUUUAGUCCCGUCAAACGGAUUAUAUCUAUUGCUGCAGCUAACAUAAAGGUCGAUUGUCCUUGUGCCCGACUGAUGCAGGAAAAUGAAGGCGGGUCUCUUGUAGACGCGUCCUUUGUUCAACUCGAUCUCAAAUCAAGCAAGACUACCCGCUGAACUUAA
rnacentral:misc_RNA from 1 species